rnacentral:rRNA from 1 species
GAUGAACGCUGGCGGCGUGCCUAAUACAUGCAAGUCGAGCGAACAGACGAGGAGCUUGCUCCUCUGACGUUAGCGGCGGACGGGUGAGUAACACGUGGAUAACCUACCUAUAAGACUGGGAUAACUUCGGGAAACCGGAGCUAAUACCGGAUAAUAUAUUGAACCGCAUGGUUCAAUAGUGAAAGACGGUUUUGCUGUCACUUAUAGAUGGAUCCGCGCCGCAUUAGCUAGUUGGUAAGGUAACGGCUUGCCAAGGCAACGAUGCGUAGCCGACCUGAGAGGAUGAUCGGCAACAUUGGAGCUGAGAAAAGGACCAGACUACUACGGGAGGGAGCAGUGGGGAAUAUUGGACAAUGGGCGCAAGACUGAUGGAGAAAUGCCGCGUGAGUGAAGAAGGUCUUCGGAUCGUAGAGCGCUUUUGUUGGGAAAGAAAAAAAGUGGACGAAUAAAGACACGUCUUGACGGGAACGAAUGAAAAAGAAACGGCGAACUUCGUG